CAGCGAUGAUUUGGUUGGGCCGGAUUGUGUGAGGGUUGUCCCGUGGACUUGUGGAGCCUUGUGGAGGAAUAAUCUUCAGCGAUGGAGUGAUACGGCCUUGUUCAGAGUCACCGCCGAGCUGCUAUCAGCAAACGCCACGCUGACCUUUGCACCCACUCAGCUUCAGCUUUACAGCAGCUGUACAGACAGUGGCAGCCUCCAACCCAGUGGGCUUGCACUGACCGUAUCUGCUGAUACUGCGUGGGAAGCUGGCCGAGGAUGGAAUAUUGAAAGAGGACAUCUGUUUGGGCACCAAGGCCACCACGCAGCGCUCAGACACCUGGAAGACAAAGUUGUGCGCUCCCUCCACCUCCCCAUCACCACCCAGUCUUUAUGGAUUCAUCAGCCUCAUACGCCUCAUCAGUCAGCAGCCUCAGAGUCAUCA